rnacentral:rRNA from 1 species
CAAGCGUUGUCCGGAAUUAUUGGGCGUAAAGAGCUCGUAGGCGGCUAGUCACGUCGGAUGUGAAAACCCGAGGCUCAACCUCGGGCCUGCAUUCGAUACGGGCUGGCUAGAGUACUGCAGGGGAGACUGGAAUUCCUGGUGUAGCGGUGAAAUGCGCAGAUAUCAGGAGGAACACCGGUGGCGAAGGCGGGUCUCUGGGCAGUAACUGACGCUGAGGAGCGAAAGCGUGGGGAGCGAACAGG